rnacentral:rRNA from 1 species
GGCUGAUACCGCCCAAGAGUUCAUAUCGACGGCGGUGUUUGGCACCUCGAUGUCGGCUCAUCUCAUCCUGGGGCUGAAGCAGGUCCCAAGGGUAUGGCUGUUCGCCAUUUAAAGAGGUACGCGAGCUGGGUUUAGAACGUCGUGAGACAGUUCGGUCCCUAUCUACCGUGGGCGCUGGAAAUUUGAGAGGAUCUGCUCCUAGUACGAGAGGACCAGAGUGGACGAACCUCUGGUGUACCGGUUGUGACGCCAGUCGCAUCGCCGGGUAGCUAUGUUCGGAAGGGAUAACCGCUGAAAGCAUCUAAGCGGGAAGCCUACCUCAAGAUAAGAUUUCCCUAGGACUUUAUGUCCUCUAAAGAGCCGUUCGAGACUAGGACGUUGAUAGGUUGGAUGUGGAAGCAUAGUGAUAUGUGAAGCUGACCAAUACUAAUUGCUCGUGAGGCUUGACUAUACAACACCCAAGCAGUUG